CGAGUCGCCACUCAUAAAGUGUCAUCCAUAGAUCAUAGACCUAGAGUCACGUUCUACUAAUUGUGGUGGAAAGAAGAAUAGGCUUGUACAUACUAGAUGUCCCAAGUUGUUUGGACCUGGGUUCUUGCUUCAGAGUGGUCACUGCAUCCAGAUAUGCAAGCCACAGAAUACUGUGAUGGUGGACUUGUUCGUUGUAGCCACAAACAAUAAGGAGGUUCAGGUGGGCUGCAGUUAAUAUAAAUCUGGAUCAGCAGCUGGCUAGCUAAGAGGAUGAUGCGCACCUGGUGACCAGUGCCACCAAUGAGUGCUCAAACAUUUGAAGGCUGGCAAGCCCUGUAUUGGAGUACUUUGGCCAAUAGCACUCAAGACAGUGAAAAAGAGGGAAUUACUGUGGAUGGAUAGCAAGAGAGAAAUCCAUAAAAUAAAGAUGAAGUUCAAGAAUCUAAAGGUGGAACGUAAAGAAAACUCCACAGUUGCACUAAGAAGUAAUGGUUAGAGGGGUCAGACAGCAAGAUGAAGAAUGGGAGCAGCAAUGGAGAUUUUCAACGAUCCAGUACUGAUGGGAGUUGGUGAAACAUCUCUUGCAGCAACAACACCUGUAAUGACACCGCCUGCAGUGUUUACUGCAUGUCCUACGGACAAUACAGCCAGAAAUGACACCUCUACUUCAGUGAAUACUGCCAAUCGAUCAGGCAAAAAGAUGCGUGACGAUGCAGACGAUGUCAUGUCGUCUACACAGGACACUGCUGAUGAUUGUACUGCUUUUGCAACCGUAGUUGCAAACGAUCUUCGGCAAUUGAAAGGGGAAACCAAAAUUUAUGCAGAAAAACUAAUUUAUGAUGUUCUUUUUCUUGCUAAACUUUGUCGUCUUUCGUCGACAUCAAUGGUUAAAGAGUAGUUUUUCACAUUUAUAUUACUGUUUAUUGUUGAUAUAAAUUACCAUUACUUGUUUUUUUGGGAAGGGUUCGUCAGGAUACACAAUUUGGCAUUAUUCAUAAUUAGCAUAGAAAAUAU